CGGAACACGUACAGAACCUUCCUUUAAGCGGGGAUAGCCCAUAGAAAUGUGGAUUAAUACCCCAUAGUAAUAUUGACUGGCAUCAGAUGGUAUUUAAAGAUUUAUCACUUAAAGAUGGCUGUGCGGCUGAUUAGGUAGUUGGUGCGGGUAACGGCCCACCAAGCCAUCGAUCAGUAACUGGUGUGAGAGCACGACCAGUCACACGGGCACUGAGACACGGGCCCG
rnacentral:rRNA from 1 species